CGAGAGUGUUGUGUGGAAACUUGAAACUGACCACAAAAAUACAACAUGCAAUGGGCAGCCUUCAUCUCUCUGAUAGUUGUUCUGGUUCGACUGGCUUCAUCAGGACAAUUCUAUUCAGGAAUACUCGUAGCCGACACUGAAACUGCUGAAGAAGGAGAGACGGUAACUUUGAAAUGUUUUGC